GCAGGCUUAACACAUGCAAGUCGAACGCCCCGCAAGGGGAGUGGCAGACGGGUGAGUAACGCGUGGGAACAUACCCUUAUCUUCGGAACAACUCCGGGAAACUGGAGCUAAUACCGAAUGUGCCCUUCGGGGGAAAGAUUUAUCGGAUAAGGAUUGGCCCGCGUUGGAUUAGCUAGUUGGUGGGGUAAAGGCCUACCAAGGCGACGAUCCAUAGCUGGUCUGAGAGGAUGAUCAGCCACAUUGGGACUGAGACACGGCCCAAACUCCUACGGGAGGCAGCAGUGGGGAAUAUUGGACAAUGGGCGCAAGCCUGAUCCAGCCAUGCCGCGUGAGUGAUGAAGGCCUUAGGGUUGUAAAGCUCUUUCACCGGAGAAGAUAAUGACGGUAUCCGGAGAAGAAGCCCCGGCUAACUUCGUGCCAGCAGCCGCGGUAAUACGAAGGGGGCUAGCGUUGUUCGGAAUUACUGGGCGUAAAGCGCACGUAGGCGGACAUUUAAGUCAGGGGUGAAAUCCCGGGGCUCAACCUCGGAACUGCCUUUGAUACUGGGUGUCUUGAGUGUGGAAGAGGUCAGUGGAAUUGCGAGUGUAGAGGUGAAAUUCGUAGAUAUUCGCAGGAACACCAGUGGCGAAGGCGG
rnacentral:rRNA from 1 species